CAGCCACGCACAGGCGACCCGUCAGCCCCAGCGUGCAGGCAGAGGGAGCAGGCGGGACUGCAGCUGGCUCAGGCCUGGGGUGUCCCUGUCUGUCCCCUCCCUGCACCUGGGCUGUGGACCGAGUCAGUGCACCGUGGGGCUGCAUGCCUGGAUGCUGUCGCUGAACCUUUCUCCUCCGCAGCUGGGCAUGAACUUGGAGGCUCUGAGGCUCCCAGGGUCCCAGCAGCAUGGAGUAGGAAGCUCACACACCAUGGGAUGGUUAGUUCUCCAGCCACAAGAGGGAAGAAAUCUGGGCACCUGAGAAGCAACCGGCAAUCAAUAAACCUAGUGCACAGUUUUCAAGGCCAGAUUACAG
rnacentral:lncRNA from 1 species